GGUUAAGUCCCGCAACGAGCGCAACCCUCGACCUUAGUUGCCAGCAUUCAGUUGGGCACUCUAAGGUGACUGCCGGCUAAAAGUCGGAGGAAGGUGGGGAUGACGUCAAAUCAUCAUGCCCCUUAUGACCUGGGCUACACACGUGCUACAAUGGGCGGUACAAAGGGUCGCGGACCCGCGAGGGGGAGCCAAUCCCAAAAAGCCGCUCUCAGUUCGGAUUGCAGGCUGCAACUCGCCUGCAUGAAGCCGGAAUCGCUAGUAAUCGCGGAUCAGCAUGCCGCGGUGAAUACGUUCCCGGGCCUU
rnacentral:rRNA from 1 species